CCGACGGUGAGGGGCGAAAGCUGGGGGCACGAACCGGAUUAGAUACCCGGGUAGUCCCAGCCGUAAACGAUGCUCGCUAGGUGUCUGGGAUGGUGCGACCGUUUCAGGUGCCGCAGGGAAGCCGUGGAGCGAGCCACCUGGGAAGUACGGCCGCAAGGCUGAAGCUUAAAGGAAUUGGCGGGGGAGCACUACAACGGGUGGAGCCUGCGGUUUAAUUGGACUCAACGCCGGAAAACUCACCUGGGGC
rnacentral:rRNA from 1 species